UCCUUUAGAUCACAAGAAGACCACUUCUAUUAAACAAUAAAUGAUUGUUUCUCAAUAAGACCACUUUUUAUAUCCCAAUCACUAAACAUGACAAAGAAAAUGGAAGUCAAUAACAAUUUUACUGAUUAGAAAUUAAUGCCAAAAGCCCAAACAUCUCCAAUGCUUACUAAAGAGAAUAUAUUAAUUAUUAUCCAUGUUUCCUAACACUAGGAUUGAGUGGGUAUUUCUGUCAGUCAAUAAUGACUUGAUAAGCAAAUAAACUGAAGCGUAGAAAAUAAAUGUUUGACAUAAGUAAAAGACAUCUGAAAUACUAAAUACUUUUUUGUCAAUAAAAUUUCUUUUCCUUUUGAAGCCCACAGGAUACAUGUGGGUAUUAGGAGAUUGAAGAAAUUAAGUUACAAAAUAGGGAAAGAAAUUAAUUCUUAAUAUAAGUUAAGAUAGGCUCCUCCGUUAACUUGUCCACUUUUGGCACCCUAACUCAACUAAAAUUGACCUUCUUAGAAUGUACCUCAGCUCAUUUGGAGUCCCUACACUUAUGACCUUAAACACACAACAACAUCAAUCGCACCAUCAUUGUUCU
rnacentral:lncRNA from 1 species